rnacentral:rRNA from 1 species
GACGAACGCUGGCGGCGUGCCUAAUACAUGCAAGUCGAGCGAGUCUGCCUUGAAGAUCGGAGUGCUUGCACUCUGUGAAACAAGAUACAGGCUAGCGGCUGACGGGUGAGUAACACGUGGGUAACCUGCCCAAGAGAUCGGGAUAACACCUGGAAACAGAUGCUAAUACCGGAUAACAACAGAUGAUGCCUAUCAACUGUUUAAAAGAUGGUUCUGCUAUCACUCUUGGAUGGACCUGCGGUGCAUUAGCUAGUUGGUAGGGUAACGGCCUACCAAGGCGAUGAUGCAUAGCCGAGUUGAGGGACUGAUCGGCCACAUUGGGACUGAGACACGGCCCAAACUCCUACGGGAGGCAGCAGUAGGGAAUCUUCCACAAGGGACGAAAGUCUGAUGGAGCAACGCCGCGUGAGUGAAGAAGGGUUUCGGCUCGUAAAGCUCUGUUGUUGGUGAAGAAGGACAGGGGUAGUAACUGACCUUUGUUGGACGGUAAUCAAUUAGAAAGUCACGGCUAACUAAGU